rnacentral:rRNA from 1 species
UGGGGAAUUUUGGACAAUGGGCGCAAGCCUGAUCCAGCCAUGCCGCGUGCGGGAAGAAGGCCUUCGGGUUGUAAACCGCUUUUGUCAGGGAAGAAAUCUUCUGAGUUAAUACCUCGGGAGGAUGACGGUACCUGAAGAAUAAGCACCGGCUAACUACGUGCCAGCAGCCGCGGUAAUACGUAGGGUGCAAGCGUUAAUCGGAAUUACUGGGCGUAAAGCGUGCGCAGGCGGUUUUGUAAGACAGAGGUGAAAUCCCCGGGCUCAACCUGGGAACUGCCUUUGUGACUGCAAGGCUUGAGUGCGGCAGAGGGGGAUGGAAUUCCGCGUGUAGCAGUGAAAUGCGUAGAUAUGCGGAGGAACACCGAUGGCGAAGGCAAUCCCCUGGGCCUGCACUGACGCUCAUGCACGAAAGCGUGGGGAGCAAACAGGAUUAGAUACCCUGGUAGUCCACGCCCUAAACCGAUGUCAACUGGUUGUUGGGAAGGUUCCUUCUCAGUAACGUAGCUAACGCGUGAAGUUGACCGCCUGGGGGAGUACGGCCGCAAGGUUGAAACUCAAAUGAAUUGACGGGGUCAUAGCUG